rnacentral:lncRNA from 1 species
AAUAAAUAAGCAGUCUAUCUUGCCACCAGACUAAGGGGUCUAAAAUUCUUGAUAAUAAAGAUUCGGCAACAAAGUAAGAACUUCUAAAAUUGCAUGUGAAGAGCAAUUAUAAUAUUUUAAAGUCUAACUAUAACUAAUAUGAAAUUGGACCUCUUCACUUAACAUGAGUUUGAAGGGAUAAACCAAGCUCUUACACAGACUCAGUAUCAAGGAUCCCUUGUAAUAUCCAGAGAUAUUCAAAAAGCUAUUAUAAAAGAAGGCCUGGAAUUUUUGCAGUUGUUACCUUACUCAGAGAGAGUGCUCCCUGCCUUAAUAUAUUCUUUUUAUUUACCAAAGCUUUCAUAAUUAUUUUUUUACUCCUUUUUCUUAUGAUGGCCUCGCGAUCACAAAGUAAAUUAGUGUUGUCAAAGAUUAUUGAAUAGCUUUUGGAAAAGGAUAUCGUACCUUAGUCGAGACUGCAGGUAGAUCCAGACAUUACAUAUUUUUCGGGGGACUCGACGCAUUAGGAAUUGUACUCGGAACCAGAGAACCCAGGAGCAGGAGGACUCGGACAUGAUCUGAACGCUGAAUAGGUAUAUUUAGAAUGAGUAAUUAAAUUUUUCUAUGGAGUAUGAAGAGGAUCUAGAUGAAGAUGCUAAAUAAUUCAUGGGAAUUAUGAAUAUAGGUUUUAUUGAUGAUAACCUCGACGAAAAUUGUAGUGGUCUCAUUCAUCAGUAAACAUUUAAGUUAAAUAUUUUUCUUGCCUUAGACGAGACUUUAUUUUCCCAUGUACCCGGAGCAUCAUAACUUGGGCUCAGAACCAGAAAGAUCCGAAGCAUGAUGACUCAUACUAUACCUGAACACUGAAAAGAUGAACUCAAAUACAGCUCUGAAUAUUGGAUCUAUAAUGAAGCUAAAUAUAUCAAGAAUUAUGAUACACAACACAUUCAAUGGCAAAAAAAACUGCUUAAAUGGUC